AGCAGCUGAAACUGCGCAUGCUCCUUGCGAGCCCGGUGGGGGAGGGAGGGAGGAUGGAUAAAGCUGCUGCCGCCGCCUCCGUGUGAGCCGGUGUCUGACUGAGAUCAGGGCUCUUAGCGUACUGAGCAUGGCCCUGUUCUGCCAGAUGUUGCAGAGACCCUAGCUGAGAUCUGGGCCCUGUUCUGCCGGGCACUGAAGAGACCCCAGGUGAGAUCAGACCCCACUGUUGUGCCAGGCUACAGAAUAACAUCCACGUUUUGCUCCAGAUCAUCCCAUCCUCCCAGGGGGAAGGCAAUGGCUGCAAUGGAGCUGGCUCAGGGGCCGGUGACCUUCGAGGAGGUGGCUGUG